UCUUCUUUCUUCUUUUCUCUUCUUCCUCUCCGUUCUUCACCUGCUAGUGAAUUGGGUAAUUGAAAUAGAGAAAGAGAGAUUUUGAGAUCGGGAGAGGUAGGGUCUGAUUAAGUAGUGAUUGUUUCUCGUGGUGUUCAAUUUAGUUGAUCAUGAGAAGUAGUGAUGAUGAUUUAUAGAGAAAACAGAAAGUUAGGGUUUCAGUUUGGAUUUAAGAUAUGGAAGAAUUCAUUAACUAAAGGAGGAUUUGGGUGGUUGGUGAUGAAGAACAAAAGGGUUGAGUUUUAAUUGAAGUUCUGAAGUUGUUUUGGAGAUGAAUUAAAGAGUUAGGGUUUCUGUUCUUUCCGAACAUAAAAUUAUGGUUCGUAAUCAACUAGGAGUCCGUUUAAUAAGGAAUAAGAAGAAAAUUAAAGGAUGGGUUCGAUGUAAUUGAAGUUUUUGAUCGUUGUUUUGGGUUCAAUUCAGAGAAGUCUUGAUUUGAGCAUGAAAUUAGGAUUUACUAAGAACUGAUGCUGGUAAUGAAGCUUGUUGAGGUGGCUAGUUGAACUAUGUGAAGAAGAGGAAAUGAUUUCAGUGGCUUGAACAAGUUAAAUCAAGUUAGUCUUUAUUAACAAUGAUCGAUUCAAAGGAUGAACGAGUGGAUUGACAAUCUUGAGGUAGGCGAGGCUUGUCUUCAGAACAGUUUUUCAGUUACCAGAAGAUAUGGUGCAUGCGAAGAUAUUCGUUUCCGUCUCUUAAAGAUUUUAGUGUUGCUUCGAUUAUUUUAGGUUUUGUACAUUAUUUUUGUAAUCACCAACAGACUAUUUAAUUUAUAUAACUUGAGAGAUUUUUCAUUUAUAAUUGUUUCGAGUGAUUGGUUUAGUUUUGGGUUAAAUUUUGUAUAAGAUUUUCUAUUUGGAAGUUAAGAUAUAUGAUUGAGAUAUUUAAUUCCUCAUUAGGUAGUUAAUCGCUUGGAUUAAUAAGUAGCUAAAUUUUGGGGCGCUACAGAUUCACUUGGAGGGAGAUUGUCAAAAUGUGAUAGCUGCAGUUAAUGGAAGUUCCACGUCAAUAAAAUGGACAACUUCUA